rnacentral:misc_RNA from 1 species
AUUAUUUGAAAAAAAAAAAGACCAACUUAUGUUUGGUCCUACAUGGAUGGGUAUAUAUACAUUAGCAGCCAAAAGUUUGCAGACAAAUUUUGAAUCGCUCAUUUGCCAUUGAUCAAGACUCGUCAAAAUUGUGCAUGGACCUAAGCUAGCAACAGAAAUUUACAGGAAAAGAGUGUAAUCUUCAAUCGUCAGCUUCCUCAAAUGUUCUUGUUACAAGAUGACGCCAAAGCAGCACCAGAAUGCACAUUACUUACAUCUCGUGUUGGCCAAAACUGUGCUGCGGCUAAGGCUGAGCGCGGUUCUUGAGAUUCCGAAUCUAACUAA